rnacentral:rRNA from 1 species
UUUAUAAUCUGAGCCUUCUCGGCGCCUCUCGUAGGCGUUUCGAAAAUGAAUCAAAACUUUCAACAACGGAUCUCUUGGUUCUGGCAUCGAUGAAGAACGCAGCGAAAUGCGAUAAGUAAUGUGAAUUGCAGAAUUCAGUGAAUCAUCGAAUCUUUGAACGCACAUUGCGCCCGCCAGUAUUCUGGCGGGCAUGCCUGUCCGAGCGUCAUUUCAACCCUCGAACCCCUCCGGGGGGUCGGCGUUGGGGAUCGGCCCUGCCUUGGCGGUGGCCGUCUCCGAAAUACAGUGGCGGUCUCGCCGCAGCCUCUCCUGCGCAGUAGUUUGCACACUCGCAUCGGGAGCGCGGCGCGUCCACAGCCGUUAAACACCCAACUUCUGAAAUGUUGACCUCGGAUCAGGUAGGAAUACCCGCUGAACUUAAGCAUAUCAAUAAGCGGAGGAAAAGAAACCAACCAU